rnacentral:rRNA from 1 species
GGCUUUCGGCCCGGGGUCGGCAACGACCACCCAAGGCCGGAAAGCUAUCCAAACUCGGUCAUUUAGAGGAAGUAAAAGUCGUAACAAGGUCCCCGUUGGUGAACCAGCGGAGGGAUCAUUA